rnacentral:rRNA from 1 species
UACGGAGGAUGCAAGCGUUAUCCGGAUUCAUUGGGUUUAAAGGGUGCGUAGGCGGGCUAUUAAGUCAGUGGUGAAAUCCUGCAGCUUAACUGCAGAACUGCCGUUGAUACUGAUAGUCUUGAGUUUGGUUAAGGUAGGCGGAAUGUGUAAUGUAGCGGUGAAAUGCUUAGAUAUUACACAGAACACCAAUUGCGUAGGCAGCUUGCUGGGCCAUUACUGACGCUGAUGCACGAAAGCGUGGGGAGCGAACA